UUAAAUGCGUGCGCCACCACCGCCCGGUGUGUCUUGAAUUCUUUAUAUAUGCGUCUUCAUUAGGAUCGGGUGGCGAAGACACUCAAGUCUCUCUGUUGGUGCAAGAUAGUCUAUUGAAUGUAGAGCCUAGGCGGGGAGAAUAUGUUGACUUGUGUUCUUCAUUGAUUCAAAUUGAAGUGAAAAGGCUGAGCUCUUAAACUUUAGAUCACACUUAAGUAUGUGGAAAACUGUUUUUGAUGGUCAGCAUAAAGUUAAAAUUUCACUGUUGACUCCUACAAGGUAACCCUUGACAGAUGGCUAACACUCCACCUCUAAGGCCCGACUCAAUGUCUCAGUCCAGUUAUGCCUGUUCAGUUUCAUGGUGGGCAAGAACUGAAGGGAGCAUUGAGCCUUGUUUCCUAACAUCUGCUCUUAGCCCCCAAGCAGUGUGAAUGCUGAACUCUGAGCCAUCCAGAGUUUUCACCAAUCAUUGUGCCUCAGUCUCUUCAGUCUUAUGGAAGAAGGGAUGAUGCCAACAGAGUAAGCUGGUGCAGUAGAGGGUAGAAAACGGUAUAAGGAAACUGAAGAAUAUCAGCUUAUGGGUGACUGCAGCUUGAGACCUGCCUGCUUUCAAGGUUAAAACCUUUGUCCAUCUUUCUCAACCACUGUUUACAUAUACAGGAUGGCUAUACAGCUGCCCAAGGUGACAAAUGAGGUGAUAACUACCUCUGUUGAAUGACCUAUAAAGAAAAGACAAUUGAUGGGAAGAGCUGCUUGUUACAUACAUGAGUUUAGAUAUAAACUUAUCAUUCAUUGCAUUAUUUGAAAAUAAAGACAGUUGUUCUUUAAGUUUGUGGAGGGGGCAACAUUUCACCUUAUCUCAAUGUAUUGUUUGGUUAUUAACAACAUGCAUGUAUAUUUUUCCAGACAUACAUUCACAGAAAGAUAGGCAUAUAUGCCCAUGUAUGCUUACACAAACAAGAUUUUAAAUAUAAAAAUUAAAAUUUGAUUAAAUGUGUACUUAAGAUGUCCAGAACAAAUUCUAAAAUACUCCUUAAAGUAUGUGAAAUACUCUUAUUUACAUGGUAGAGUAAAUAAGAAACCAAAGUCAGUUGAAAUUCAAAGACAUAAUUCUUCAAUACAGAGAACAAAAUUGGGUGCAUAGACUUAGUGAUGAAAAGAGCCAGCAGAGAGCACUAGAGCAGAAGAAUGGAUGGGCCAUGGCCAGUUCGCUCACUCGAAUGGUUUAGUCCCUAUUUCAACUUGAAGUAUGAGGACACGAUGAAGUGGUGAGACGGUAGAAGACAGACUUAAGAGAACGUAAAAGAAGUCUUCAUGUAGCGCACUUAAGAAGAUGUGAGCCGGGCCGUGGUGGCGCACGCCUUUAAUCCCAGCACUUGGGAGGCAGAGGCAGGCAGAUCUCUGUGAGUUCCAGACCAGGCUGCACUGGCAGCCUCCAAAACAAUACAGAGAAACUCUGUCUCGUAAAACAAAAACAAAAAAAAAAACAAAACAAAACAAAAAAAGUGAGAACAAGGGUCAGGAUGGUCAGGAAGGGUUGGCAUUCUUUAUACUAUAAUAAUGCUCAGAUCGGUGUGCACUGCAGCCAGUACAGAUCUGUGAAGCCACGCUCUGGGUAAAUUAUCUCCAUGUAUCUCAGGCGACUAGGCAUGGGGAGUUUUUAAAGUUACAAAGUGAAAAGCACAGCCAGUGUUGGGAGCCCCUGACUCCUGGGAAAUAAGUCCUGGUGAAGCCCACCACUCACAGACCACGGCAAGGUGAUCAUUCCUUGCUAUGAGUGUGUGCAACAGUUUCCCGUCUCCAGUUAGUCACACAGUUUAAACCUGGACCCGAUUUCAGAGAUACUGUACUCAGUCAUUUUGUGGUGAUCUGCAUGAACUCUAAAUGAUUUCUGUGUGUGCCUUUUCUAGACACAGACUUACUGCUCCAGAGUGGAAGGACCUUAAAGCUCCUGGGUCACGUGUUACUCCAAUUCUUUAUUCCAUACAAGACUUCAUAAAAUGAUGAUAAUUCUCCCUUUCUGUAGGUAAAACUCUGAAUUAAGAAACAAAAACCUCGCAAUUAAUAGAGUUUGUAGAGAGUUUUCGUCCUCACCUGUGUUUGCUCACAAGGCUGGAGGGUGAAGUUCUGCAGGACUCUGAUGACAGCCAGUUUCAUGCUGAGGAGGGCAAACCUCAUGCCAAGGCAAUUCCUGGGUCCGUUCCCAAAGGGCAUGUAUACAUAAGGAUCAAUGCUGCUCUUGUUCUCCUUGCUGAACCUGGAGACACCGCAGGGAUGAAGACCAGGCUAUGGGACAUGAAGACCCCAAGAGCUGCCCGUUUGGGGUUCUCACACCCCUCCACCAGGAUGGCACAAUGGACAUUUGUGGACUUGGAGCUGAACUGCUGCGGAUGUCUCACGAAAUGAAAUACAUCUACAACUAAGUUCCUGGACCCACUUGUAUUUCCAUUCAAUUCAAAGGAAGGUCUCAAAGUGAUGUUGACUAAUAGUUAUCUGUAUAACUCAUCGAAAUGUAAAACACUCAAGAUAUGCAGAAAUGGUUAAGUGGUUGAGACUAUUUGCUGCUUACAGAAGACCUGAGGUCAGUGCUCAGUACAUGGCAUUGAAUGGCUCAUAACUGCAACUCCGGCUGUAAGGGAUCCAACUCCCCCUACUGAACUCUAGAGGCACAACUCUCAUAUUGUGUGUGUGCGCGCACACACACACACACACACACACACACACACACACACACACACUUAAUUCAAAAUAAAACAAAAUUAAAAAAUAA